UGCUAAAAGAUAACAACCCAUAUCCUCAAAAAGAAAACAAAUGCAAUACCAAAAUGUUGGAAUGAUGAUUCCAACACUCUUAUUAGAAAGUUAGAAGGAUUCACAUUUUUUCGCAUGGAACCACCAUUAGAUCAUCCACUAGUUGCUUUGAAAUUUAUGCAAAUAGAUGAAUGACAGAGGUUGGAGUGUCGUGAGAGAUGUGCGGUGGGUAAUCCGUC
rnacentral:lncRNA from 1 species